rnacentral:rRNA from 1 species
UGGGGAAUAUUGCACAAUGGGGGAAACCCUGAUGCAGCGACGCCGCGUGAACGAAGAAGGUAUUCGUAUCGUAAUGUUCUGUCCUAUGGGAAGAUAAUGACAGUACCAUAGAAGAAAGCUCCGGCUAAAUACGUGCCAGCAGCCGCGGUAAUACGUAUGGAGCGAGCGUUGUCCGGAAUUAUUGGGCGUAAAGGGUACGCAGGCGGUUUAAUAAGUCGAAUGUUAAAGAUCGGGGCUCAACCCCGUAAAGCAUUGGAAACUGAUAAACUUGAGUAGUGGAGAGGAAAGUGGAAUUCCUAGUGUAGUGGUGAAAUACGUAGAUAUUAGGAGGAAUACCAGUAGCGAAGGCGACUUUCUGGACACAAACUGACGCUGAGGUACGAAAGCGUGGGGAGCAAACAGG